CACUGGGAAGUGUAGUUCCAGCCUUGGCCUCCUCGGCCGCCCGCGCGGACGUCGUCCGGUCACUCGUGGGUGACAGCUGAGGCCAGGCUGCUGCUCCCUGCAGCCCUCUGCAGAGCAAGGUGCCGAAUCUGCAAAACCCGUACGGCAGAGUACCCAGUGGACAGGCUCCGGACAGUCCAUUCUGAGGCAGGGGGUGCUGUCUGACACACCCAGGAUGUGAAGACCGGAAACUGGGACUGAAUGGUAAGGGUGGACCAAGCUUGAGGUCCAGCCCACUGGAAGGAUUGGAGACACUGGCUGUCUGAGGAUGAGAAGAGGCUUACAGAGACCUUUCACUCAAGCCUUAGGACCCCAGAUGCAACAUUCCUUCAGCUUCGAACCCACACCUCCGGCCUUCAGAAGACGGGAACGACAGUCUCCGCUUACUGAACCUUCAGGAACACUAUGCUCAUGAAACAAACCAUUCACGAGACUGUCCCACACAGGAUCCCACUUCAUGAGGCACCUCUGGAUAGCAGCCCCUCUUGCCUUGGCAGGGAGAGGAGGGGGAUGAGUGUGAGCACAGCUGCUGUCUUCGCCCCGUCUGAAGAUCACCUCCUUCGGCUGGUGUUAAAAGUCUCAGGCUGCUAGCAAGUUUCAGAGCACCAGAAGCUCUUGGAGUAGUUUUUAGAGGUUUCUAACAAUACACCCUGAAGAGGGGGAGGUGGUUGCAGGGAAAGGGAGAAGGAGCUCAGGUAAGGAACUUGAGGACCUGGCACUCAGUUUCUGAGGCAGGGAGCCAGCAAGAUUACCUCUGAAUAAAUGUCAUUUACCGCCAGGGUCCAAGCCCCUGGAUCCUUGUGGUUUUGAGCAGCAAUGACAUAGGAUGGGUCAUGUGUCUAGAUUCCCAGGUUUAGAGCCCCAAGUAGAAUUCAGCUAUGACCAUUACAUGAUGUGGAAUGAUAACUGCAUAUGUGCCAAGGUGAACAAGUGUGUGCUGCCUUGGGAUAAUAGAAUAGAAUAAUAAUAAAAUAAUAUUAGACAGAAAUGGAUCAGAUGCUCCAAUCUUCCAAAAUAUGUCAUUGAUUCAAAGGAAAACAGUCCAGUUGGUCCUCUGUGGUGCUUUGUGGGUUUUACAUCUUUAUGUGGAAAUUGCCACAACAUAACAUCCAUCUAUUUAAAAAAUGCAGCUGGGCGGUG